rnacentral:rRNA from 1 species
UACGGAGGGGGCGAGCGUUAUUCGGAAUUAUUGGGCGUAAAGGGCGCGUAGGCGGCUUGACAAGUCAAAGGUGAAAUCCCUCGGCUCAACUGAGGAACUGCCUUUGAAACUGUCUGGCUUGAGGCCGGGAGGGGGUAGCGGAAUUCCCAGUGUAGCGGUGAAAUGCGUAGAUAUCGGAAGGAACAUCAGUGGCGAAAGCGACUUCCUGGACCAAUACUGACGCUCAUGUGCGAAAGCGUGGGGAGCAAACAGG